rnacentral:rRNA from 1 species
GACGAACGCUGGCGGCGGGCUUAACACAUGCAAGUCGAACGAGAAGCCACCUUCGGGUGGUAGAGAGUGGCGCACGGGUGAGUAACACGUAGGCAACCUGCCCUUGAGCGGGGAAUAACUUCGGGAAACCGGAGCUAAUACCGCAUAUUGUCUGAGAACCGCAUGGUUUUCAGAUGAAAGCCUUCGGGCACUCAAGGAUGGGCCUGCGUUGGAUUAGUUAGUUGGUGAGGUAACAGCUCACCAAGACUGCGAUCCAUAGCUGGUCUGAGAGGAUGAUCAGCCACACUGGCACUGAGACACGGGCCAGACUCCUACGGGAGGCAGCAGUGAGGAAUCUUGGGCAAUGGGGGAAACCCUGACCCAGCCACGCCGCGUGGAGGAAGACACCCCUAUGGGGCGUAAACUCCUUUUAUGUGAGAAGAAGGUCCCGUUCGUCGGGAUUUGACGGUAUCACACGAAUAAGCACCGGCUAACUCCGUGCCAGCAGCCGCGGUAAUACGGAGGGUGCAAGCGUUGUCCGGAAUUAUUGGGUGUAACAGGGUGUGUAGGCGGACUUGUAAGUCAGAGGUGAAAGCCCACGGCUCAACCGUGGAAUUGCCCCUGAUACUGCAGGUCUUGAGUCCUGGAGCAGGUCGCUGGAAUUCGUGGUGUAGCGGUUGAAAUGCGUAGAUAUCACGAGGAACACCAGAGGUGUAAGACGGGUGACUGGACAGGAACUGACGGCUGAGCGCACGAAAGGCGUNGGGGAGCAAACCAGGGAUUAGAUUACCCUGGGUAGUCCACGCCGUAAACGAUGGAUGCUCGGAUGGGCGCCCGUUUANGGGGCGCUUGCCUAAGCUUAACGCCGUUA